rnacentral:rRNA from 1 species
UACGGGGGGGGCAAGCGUUGUUCGGAAUUACUGGGCGUAAAGGGCUCGUAGGCGGCCAACUAAGUCGGACGUGAAAUCCCUCGGCUUAACCGAGGAACUGCGUCCGAUACUGGAUGGCUUGAGUUCGGGAGAGGGAUGCGGAAUUCCAGGUGUAGCGGUGAAAUGCGUAGAUAUCUGGAGGAACACCGGUGGCGAAGGCGGGUCUCUGGGCCGAUACUGACGCUGAGGAGCGAAAGCGUGGGGAGCGAACAGG